rnacentral:lncRNA from 1 species
CCUACACUGACAGCUGUUCUGUGUGGUCAGCAGGACCAAAUGAGGAAAGCAGAAACCUUCCCUUGCUGCUAAGCUAAUUUGUACUGUCUUGAAAGAGGACAUUCCCUUUGUGGUUGAGGAUCUGUCAUGCCCAGCCCAGCAAUAGAAGCUGAUCUCCUGUGGUGAAGUUUGUGGUCAGAGAUGACUAAUCAGAUGGCUGCAACCACACGCAGCUCAUCCAAAGUUUGUAUCCACAUAAAAAGGCGAAGUUUAAUCAAACCACAAAACAAGGCGUGAUGCUCUGGAAGAUGGCGUUCUACAAGCCAGCUCUCCCUACUCCUGUUUCAAAUGUGCUGUGAGUUGAUUAUCCUAGGAAGCAGAUUGACUGUACAUUUAUUUCAAAUGUCCUGAGAUCCUGAUUGAGGACUCAAAGGAUUUGUUUUGUCCUUCAUUGUGAUUAGUAGAUGGUUUUAUGUUCCUUGAUUAUGAUAAAUUUGUUUUUGAAACUCAUUAUAAUAUUUAAAUUGACCAUUAUCACAAAUGGGUGUCAGCACUUGGCUGUCAGUAUUUUUCUUCAGGAAGAAAUGAAUAAACUAAAAUUAUGAAAUU